rnacentral:rRNA from 1 species
GAUGAACGCUAGCGGCAGGCUUAAUGCAUGCAAGUCGUGGGGCAGCGCAGGUAGCAAUACUGGGCGGCGACCGGCAAACGGGUGCGGAACACGUAUGCAACCUACCUUCAACUGGAGGAUAGCCCGGGGAAACUCGGAUUAAUACUCCAUAACACAGGGAUCCCGCAUGGGAAUAUUGUUAAAGCUACGGCGGUUGAAGAUGGGCAUGCGUUCGAUUAGCUAGUUGGUGUAGGUAACGGCUCACCAAGGCUACGAUCGAUAGGGGGUCUGAGAGGAUGAUCCCCCACACUGGUACUGAGAUACGGACCAGACUCCUACGGGAGCAGCAGUAGGGAAUAUUGGUCAAUGGGCGCAAGCCUGAACCAGCCAUGCCGCGUGCAGGAAGAAGGCCCUCUGGGUUGUAAACUGCUUUUGAUAGGGACAAAUGCCACUUGCGAGUGGAGCUGAGUGUACCUAUAGAAUAAGCACCGGCUAAACUCCGUGCCAGCAGCCG